rnacentral:rRNA from 1 species
GACGAACGCUGGCGGCGCGCUUAACACAUGCAAGUCGAACGGAAAGGCCUGCUUUCCCUUGUGGAUUGCGGGUACUCGAGUGGCGAACGGGUGAGUAACACGUGAGUGAUCUGCCCCCAACUUGGGUAUAAGCCUGGGAAACUGGGUCUAAUUCCCGAUAGGACUGCAGGGUGGUGCCUGUGGUGGAAAACGAUUUUCUAGUGGUUGGGGAUGAGCUCGCGGCCUAUCAGCUUGUUGGUGGGGUAAUGGCCUACCAAGGCGGCGACGGGUAGCCGGCCUGGGAGGGUGGACGGCCACAUUGGGACUGAGAUACGGCCCAGACUCCUACGGGCGGCAGCAGUGGGGAAUAGUGCACAAUGGGCGGAAGCCUGAUGCAGCGACGCCGCGUGGGGGAUGACGGUCUUCGGGUUGUAAACUCCUUUCGACCGCGAGGAAGCCACCUGGUUGGAAGGGUGGUGACGGUAGUGGUAGAAGAAGCACCGGCUAACUACGUG